rnacentral:rRNA from 1 species
GAUGAACGCUGGCGGCGUGCCUAAUACAUGCAAGUCGAGCGAACAGACGAGGAGCUUGCUCCUCUGACGUUAGCGGCGGACGGGUGAGUAACACGUGGAUAACCUACCUAUAAGACUGGGAUAACUUCGGGAAACCGGAGCUAAUACCGGAUAAUAUAUUGAACCGCAUGGUUCAAUAGUGAAAGACGGUUUUGCUGUCACUUAUAGAUGGAUCCGCGCCGCAUUAGCUAGUUGGUAAGGUAACGGCUUACCAAGGCAACGAUGCGUAGCCGACCUGAGAGGGUGAUCGGGCACACUGGAACUGAGAAACGGUCCAGACUCCUACGGGAGGCAGCAGUAGGGAAUCUUCCGCAAUGGGCGAAAGCUUGACGGAGCAACGCCGCGUGAGUGAUGAAGGUCUUCGGAUCGUAAAACUCUGUUAUUAGGGAAGAACAAAUGUGUAAGUAACUAUGCACGUCUUGACGGUACCUAAUCAGAAAGCCACGGCUAACUACGUG